GCCCGCGUAGCUCAGUUGGCAGAGCGCAUCCUUGGUAAGGAUGAGGUCACCAGUUCAAUUCUGGUCGUGGGCUCCA
rnacentral:tRNA from 1 species